CUGCAGCCCGAGUGGUGAUCGAUUUUAUUGAGCCUAAAGCGUCCGUAGCCGGACUAGUAAACCCUUGGGUAAAUUGGGCAGCUUAACUGCCCGAAUUCCGAGGGGACUGCUAGUCUUGGGACCGGGAGAGGUCAGAGGUACUCCAGGGGUAGGGGCUAAAUCCGAUAUGCUUUCGUGGCAUUCGGUUAGCAUUCCUGUAAUCCUUGGGGGACCACCAGUGGCGAAGGCGUCUGACUAGAACGGAUCCGACGGUAAGGGACGAAACCCUGGGGCGCGAACCGGAUUAGAUACCCGAGUAGUCC
rnacentral:rRNA from 1 species